UGGGGAAUAUUGCACAAUGGGCGAAAGCCUGAUGCAGCAACGCCGCGUGAGUGAUGAAGGCCUUCGGGUUGUAAAGCUCUGUCUUUUGGGACGAUAAUGACGGUACCAAAGGAGGAAGCCACGGCUAACUACGUGCCAGCAGCCGCGGUAAUACGUAGGUGGCAAGCGUUGUCCGGAUUUACUGGGCGUAAAGGAUGCGUAGGCGGAUUUUAAGUGAGAUGUGAAAACCCUAAGCUUAACUUGGGGACUGCAUUUCAUACUGGAAAUCUAGAGUGCGGGAGAGGAGAAUGGAAUUCCUAGUGUAGCGGUGAAAUGCGUAGAGAUUAGGAAGAACACCAGUGGCGAAGGCGAUUCUCUGGACCGUAACUGACGCUGAGGCAUGAAAGCGUGGGUAGCAAACAGGAUUAGAUACCCUGGUAGUCCACGCCGUAAACGAUGAGUACUAGGUGUAGGAGGUAUCGACCCCUUCUGUGCCGCAGUUAACACAAUAAGUACUCCGCCUGGGAAGUACGAUCGCAAGAUUAAAACUCAAAUGAAUUGACGGGGUCAUAGCUGUUU
rnacentral:rRNA from 1 species